UCGGCGGAGGGGCGGGGCCGCGGCCGGGGCGCGGCCGGCGUGGGGCGGGGCCCGGGCGGGGUGCGUACGGAGGUAGGAAGAGGCGGCCGCAGACUUUCCGGUCGGCCCCUCGUCCGCUGCCGCGCGCCGGCCGGCUGGCCGCUCGGGUCGGUUGGCGGCUGCCUGGUGUCCGAGGGAGCCGGCCGCUGCUUCCCUACUUCCGGGGAGCUGUUUGGGGCAGUUCCAGUCAGCAGGGUAUCAGAGCAACUCUGUGAGAACAGCGGGUGUAGUCUGGAACUCGACACUUGGUACCAGCCCUGGACUUCUGUGCCCCUCCGACUUCUCAGCACCUCAUGGAUUUGUUGGACAUCCCUUCCUGGAGCUUGGGUCCCCACUCCAUACCCACAGGAGGCCAGGAAUCCUCAGUCUCUAGAAGCCUCUGGGCUACGCUGGCAUGGGGUGCCCUGCACAAUCCAGUGUUUCUGCUCAUCUUGAAAUUCCUCUCAUUCUGGAGUUGACCUCCCAGUCGUCCCUGGAGACCUCAGGCAUCAUCUCAGCCUCAGACAGCAUCUCCUCCUCCUCCUCAGUCUCCACCAUAUCCGUGGCAGCCUUGGGCUCACACGAGCUGUGUCUCAGGGUCUGCAACCACAGCUCCUCGCUGCCGCUCUCCAUCCAGCAGGUGGGCGAUGCUGCCUCAUCCCCAUCACCCUGGACAUGAAGAUUGGCACCAUGUACAAGAGCAUCCUGCUGAACUGGGCAUGUGGGGCAUCCUUUUCGUCCCCUCACUCAGACCUCUGUGGGUACUGACCUCACUGGAACAACUACUCUGACAGGAAGCCAUGUCUGGACCUUCCAGGUAGCAUGCCCAGGUCUGGGAGGAGGCAGACGACCACCAGGAACACCACUCUACACUGGAGGAAACUGAGGCAGCUUCAACACCCCUGGCUGGUGCUUGGAUACCCACGCUUGAGUGGGGGCAAUAACAUGCCCACCAAGCUCCUUCCAAAUCUAGGAUGCAGUGGCUCUAAAAAGACUGCUUAGAUUGUGUCCCCUGUGCCCCCCAACCUGCAGUGACCCCCAACUCCUUGCCCAACAUCCAGAGAGCCCUGCAUGAUCUGGUAGAUGCUCUUCCCAGCGUGCACCCCUCACCCUGACCACCCUCCUCCAGGGAGCCUGCCAAGCCUUGGCCCCUCAGAGGCCCCUGCCAUCCCUCCCCAUGGCCAUCCAGGAUGGCCUCACCUCCGAGGCUGGGCUCAAAGACCACUUCCUCAGGCUUCUGUGCAAGCUCAGGCUUACAGGUCAGAUUGAUCUGGAUCAAACCCACAGCAGGGCUCUGUCAUAGCCCUGUGACUGGCAAGCUCCUAUGGGAACUCUUGGGACCUCAGUUUUCUACUUUGAAGAUGGGGUCAGUGACUCCCACCCCAGGAGGAUGUGUUGGGGAUUAAAGCAGGGAGAUGAAAGUGUUUGAGUGCCGGAUCUUGGGGAGACGGGGUGCUGCCAGGAAGACAGGGGAGGGGAUGUAGGGAAGAAAAACGCGGCCUGACCUCCUCCCUGCCCAGACGUGUCCCCACUCCCCCUUCCCCUGAACCAGCCAUGCACCGGGACGAACACUGGAGUGGACCGUGGCGGCCAGGGCGGCAAGGUGGGGGGUAUAUUUCAUUUCUCUCUAGUCCCCCGGUCUCCAUGUCCACUCAGUCCAGCGGUCCUGCCUGGCGGGAGUGGGGCUGGCCCCCGGCCUAAGGGGACGUGAGCGUCACUGAGCAGGCAGUGGAGACCGGGACCCGUGGGACCGACCCCACAGCGAGCCCCUCGGUGGUGCUCGUGCCUGCUGGGAGGUGGGGUCCCGCGCAUGCGCCGUCUGCUUGGCCGUGUGCGCGCCUGCGCAGGAUCCACCUGCCUCCGACGACCGUUGGUGGGAGGACCGUGCCCACCAGAGUGCACCUGUGCCACGUCCACCCAAAAGGUGGGAGCCGACCGGCCACCCAGAACCACGCUAAUGGAGUUCCUCCUCCAACCCCUCGUGGGACAGUCGGCAAGCUGAGGGCAGGGGAGGCAGUUCACUUGGCUGGAGAUGCUCCGAUCCUGCUGUAUCCCGAUGUCCCGAGGACGUGGUCUCAGGAAAGCCGACAGUGAGAGCCGUUUCCUACACUGCAGACUCGGGGUCAGGUCUCACCCUGACACCUCUGGCCAUUUGCCUGGAGGGACCCAAAGAGCCGCAUGGAAGCUGCAUUGUUUCCUGUUCCUGCACCUGGCUCCUCACAAUGGGCAGAUGUGGCAUUUGGAGGCAUCUCCCUCCCUCCAGAGCUGCUGAUGCAAUGGGUGAAGUGGCCUGCAGCUCAGAAGUAGCUGCUGCAGGUGGUCUGCCCUCUGGCUCUGGAGGUGCACUGGCUCCCACUCCUGGACCUGGCUCCUCGAAAUCUGCAGUCGGAGACAUCUCUGAUGGAUCAGAUGGGUUCACAGCUGUGAGAGGAGAAAAGCUCACCCCCAUGCUUACUCUCCAUGGGCCUUCGCAGAGACAGAGCCCAGCCCAGGGCCUCCCAGAGAAGCCACAGCCGGGAAGGGACCCUCAUGGGGACAUCUCCCCAACUGCAGUCCAUCCGCUGGGUGCUCUGUGCCCAGUUGUUGCUCCUGGCCCCACACCAGCCUCUGGGGGCUCCUCCGUGUGGGGCCACACCAACCCGUCCCCACACACCACAAACACCUAGCCCCAGCCUUCUCACCCUCGGCCUCGGCCUCCGUGGUCUCCGGCUCCUGGACUACUGUCUGGUGGACGACCACCUGGGACAGUGGUCCGGGUCGUGUCGGAGGUCUUCCCUACAAUCCCCAGCAUCUGCUCCUGGGGACCCCUGUGGGGUCACCCCCUCUGUCGAGGAGAUGGAGGGUGUGUCCACCAGCCACCUCUCCAUGUCCUCCGUGGCCUUCUGCAAAGACAGGGACCAGUAGCCGGCCCCGAGGCAUCACAGCCCUGCCCGGCCAUCCGCACUGUCCUCCUGCCCAGUCCCCCUGCUGCUCCCAGAUCAGACACACACCUGUGUGUGCACAGCCCAGAGCCUCCCAGAGAAGCCGCAACCAGCAACCCUCACCAGGACCUCUUCCCGACUGCAGUCCACCAGCUGGGUGCACUGAGCCCAGUCUUUGCUGUUGGUCCCAGCCUGUCAGGGCAUCUCCUGGUGGGGCCCAGCACCGCCCCAUCCCCAGACACCCACAUACACCCACCCCUGGUCUUCUCAACCUUGGGCAUGACCUCCGUGGGUCCAGGCCCUCCAGCAGAGUCCAGGGAAGUGGGCGUGGCGCUCUAGGUUGGAACCGGGCAUGUUGAGCUGUAUAUAGGCCACUAGCUGCUUGAGGCAGGGAAUGUCUGGGGCUGACAAGUGCUCUGAGUACUGGUCCAGCCAGAGGCCCAGAAUGGAGGAGAUGGCCCUGGAGGUAGGAGGACAAACAGCAAAGUCAGUGGCCUGGCCCUUCCUUCCACACAGCCCCCUGGGCAGCCCUGGAGAUGUUCCAUCCAGAGGCCAGGCCCACCCAGCCCACCCCCACCGGCCAUCCAGGCAGGGGCAGGUCUGGCCAGUAUGCGAGUCAGCAGUCUCCAUGGGAGGGAGCCCUCCAUCACUGGUGUGAGCCUUCCUGCCUUCCUCAGGAGAGCCUGCCCCACUCCUCUGUCUGGGGUCCCUCCUCCUGCAAAGGAAUCACCAGGAGGGUGCGGGGCCAGUACCCUCCUUCUCUCCAGGAGCCCAUCCUAAAACUCCAAUCCUGGGAAGGUCCCACACUUCCAAAACUUUCGUUUGAGCUCCACUAACUGUGUGCAAAAAACCUGUGACACUCAGUUCUCCCGUCUCCCCAGUCUCUGGUCCAAGAGGUUUUCUUCUUGUUCAAACAUGACACCACCCUCUCUCAACUCCUCUCUCCCUCUCCUUUUCUCUCCCCACAGAAAGGGCUCCCUCCCCACCAGAGCAGGGCAGCUUUUCUCUCCCCCAGUUCCUUUCUAGGCACCUUGCACCUGCCCCACUAUCUCCCUCCAAUGGCGGACAUCCUUCUUCCUAUCUUUGCAUCGAUUUUCUGGGUGUUCCAAGUGAUGUGGCCUCAAUACAGCUGUGUUCCAGGGACCAGGAAGGCCCAGGGUCCCCCUACUUCACCAUCUUAACUCCUCCCAUAGUUUACAAGAUUCCAUUUAAAUAAAGGCAGACACAGACUCACUCCCAGGGACAUUUUGUUUAUAGCAAGGAGGUUCUGCAAAGCAGUGACAGAGGGGACUUCUGAGAAAAUGGUCCAGGGUCAACUGGUUACCAUAUGGGAAAAAAAUUCAUCUUUACUCUUAUCUCAUACCAUGAACAAAAAUCAAUACCAGGUGGAUCUUAAAUAAAAUGUGGAAGUUUGAGAGAAUAA